UUGAGGCAAGCUUUAGGGAAGCAAGCUGCUUACUGAACACUUAGGCACAUGGUGCAAUGAAAAUGUAUUUCUUUAAGGGGGUUGAAAAGGCAAGGAAAACACUUUUAUAUAACAUCGAUCUCAAAGCAGUUGACUCACUCUUCGAUGAGUCAUUGGUGAACUGCGUGGAGAGGAUGUGAGGCGGCGACUAGAAAGAGGGAAUGCACAAGAGAUGCCGAGCAGAUAAACCUGGAUGUCACUUAGUCACCACAUAGACCUGUUCAAAGACCUGCAGACUUCCCCCAGCAAUUUCUCUUCGUGUUCGUUUCUGUGACCGUCUCCAACGGCCCUCACCUCGGAAUGACAAAACCCAGUUCAUGAGAAGGUGAUGCCCCUGUCCAUGAGCGCCUCUUUGGGAGAGCAGAUGGUGACGACCUGUGGUGGGCUUCAAAUAAUUUCGCCAUAAAUUCUGAUUGAAGAAAUUAUUGAAAUGAUAUCAAGUCUGAUUAUAGAGUGCACAUACAAGAAUGGAAGAGUACUUGUCAGUAAUACCCACUCUCCCAAAUGAGACACUGUACCAGAUGCUACCAGACCUGCUGAUUUUUUCUGUCAAUUUCUGGUUUUCCUCCCCAAAAAAUUACUGUGUCUUUCAAGGAAUGUUCCAUUCACGAAUCUUACAUCUUUGCUUGUACUACAUAUUUGGAAAGCCUACUCCUGGUAUGACGACUCCGGACUGGAAUACUGAAAGGAAAUCCUUAACGCAAACGUGUGGGGGCUUCCAGAAGGUCGUGAUAGGCGCUAUAUGAAUGUCAGUUAUCUCUUCUUCAGGAUGUGGGCGUCACUGGCAUUUAUUGGCCAUCCUGCAGUGCCCUUGAGAAGAAACUGCCAUCUUGAACUGCUGCAAUCUUUGGGGGUAACACACAGCGUUACUGGGAAGAAAACUCUGAUAUUGCCCAUACAUGAGUUGCACAUACCUACCCUAUGUACAGUACAUGCGAUAGGAUACAAGCAUGUGCGACUGACCCAGAGAGAGGUGUGAAUAAAUGUGUGGGACAGCGUGUAGGCCAAAACUCCGGAUGAAGAGGUGCACCAAUUGAGGCAGAAGCAUGUGAAAAAGCAAAGCUGGUCUGAGAGAAAGUAGGUGUGCGUGUGAGAGCGAAAGAGAGAGAGGCUGGCAGGAGGACUGUGUAUGUGAGAGAAAGUAAGAAAGUGCGUGUGCGUUUACGAGAGGAAUAACCGAAAAGGUUGAACUGUGAAGGCUCUCUCUUUGUGACACUUGUGCUUCUCCACGCAGUUUCAUUGCUCGCUGCACUUUAACAGCCUUAAACUGGGAGCUCUCAGAUUUCAGUCACAUCACGCCUCCUUCACUUCUAACCAAAAGCCCAGCCGUUUUACUACCCUCCCCCCCCCCCCCCGCUUUAUCCCUGAUGGAAAUCAAAGCUCCACUGAACGGACAGAGUCACUGCAUUGGCAAAGCAAAACUAGAACUCGACAAUCCCGUGUAACGAACAAUUGAACAAUGCCCCUGAUUCACCUCGAUUAAUCCGCACACUCAAAUACCACCAAGCCGAACACGUGGGACUGAAAUAAUCUCCAGAGGCUGCGCCAGUCUUAUUUUCUGAUGCAGUUUUUUUUAAAAAUUCCCCUCUCUCGAGGUUUGUCAUUUGCAGGGGGCUGGAAUGCCUACAGGGAAACUCGGUCAAGUAUCUGCUCUUGAAGAGCGCCAGAACAGUGAUGGGCCGCUGUACCUAUGAAGAAGUAUGUCUUUGCAAG